UACGAAGGGUGCAAGCGUUACUCGGAAUUACUGGGCGUAAAGCGUGCGUAGGUGGUGAGUUAAGUCUGUCGUGAAAGCCCCGGGCUCAACCUGGGAAUGGCGAUGGAUACUGGCUCGCUAGAGUGCGGUAGAGGAGAGUGGAAUUCCCGGUGUAGCAGUGAAAUGCGUAGAGAUCGGGAGGAACAUCAGUUGCGAAGGCGGCUCUCUGGACCAGCACUGACACUGAGGCACGAAAGCGUGGGAGCAACAGG
rnacentral:rRNA from 1 species